rnacentral:rRNA from 1 species
GUGGGGAAUAUUGGGCAAUGGGGGAAACCCUGACCCAGCAACGCCGCGUGAAGGAAGAAGGCUUUCGGGUUGUAAACUUCUUUUAUGAGGGACGAAGAAGUGACGGUACCUCAUGAAUAAGCCACGGCUAACUACGUGCCAGCAGCCGCGGUAAUACGUAGGUGGCAAGCGUUGUCCGGAUUUACUGGGUGUAAAGGGCGCGUAGGCGGGAUAGCAAGUCAGGUGUGAAAUCCGGGGGCUUAACCCUCGAACUGCACUUGAAACGGGUAUUCUUGAGUGAUGGAGAGGCAAGCGGAAUGCCUAGUGUAGCGGUGAAAUGCGUAGAUAUUAGGGGGAACACCAGUGGCGAAGGCGGCUUGCUGGACAUUAACUGACGCUGAGGCGCGAAAGCGUGGGGAGCAAACAGGAUUAGAAACCCGGGUAGUCC